CACCUCCUGAUGCUUACCACAGGCUGUGUUCUUACACUGACUAUAGAAAGAGGAGACAGAGUAAACAUACCCCGCUACACCCCAGCCCAGGCCCCAUGCCUGGUCUGUAUUCUGCAUGGGGGAACAUGA
ensembl:snoRNA